CCUACGGGCGGCAGCAGUGGGGAAUAUUGGACAAUGGGCGAAAGCCUGAUCCAGCCAUGCCGCGUGUGUGAAGAAGGCCUUCGGGUUGUAAAGCACUUUCAGUGGGGAAGAAAGCCUUGGGGCUAAUACCCUCGAGGAAGGACAUCACCCACAGAAGAAGCACCGGCUAACUCCGUGCCAGCAGCCGCGGUAAUACGGAGGGUGCGAGCGUUAAUCGGAAUUACUGGGCGUAAAGCGCGCGUAGGCGGUCUGAUAAGCCGGUUGUGAAAGCCCCGGGCUCAACCUGGGAACGGCAUCCGGAACUGUCAGGCUAGAGUGCAGGAGAGGAAGGUAGAAUUCCCGGUGUAGCGGUGAAAUGCGUAGAGAUCGGGAGGAAUACCAGUGGCGAAGGCGGCCUUCUGGACUGACACUGACGCUGAGGUGCGAAAGCGUGGGUAGCAAACAGGAUUAGAUACCCCUGUAGU
rnacentral:rRNA from 1 species